UACGGGGGGGGCAAGCGUUGUUCGGAAUUACUGGGCGUAAAGGGCUCGUAGGCGGCCAACUAAGUCAGACGUGAAAUCCCUCGGCUUAACCGGGGAACUGCGUCCGAUACUGGCAGGCUUGAAUUCGGGAGAGGGAUGCGGAAUUCCAGGUGUAGCGGUGAAAUGCGUAGAUAUCUGGAGGAACACCGGUGGCGAAGGCGGCAUCCUGGACCGAGAUUGACGCUGAGGCGCGAAAGCCAGGGGAGCAAACGGG
rnacentral:rRNA from 1 species